AUUGAACGCUGGCGGCAUGCUUUACACAUGCAAGUCGAACGGCAGCGCGGGCUUCGGCCUGGCGGCGAGUGGCGAACGGGUGAGUAAUGCAUCGGAACGUGCCCAGUAGUGGGGGAUAGCCCGGCGAAAGCCGGAUUAAUACCGCAUACGACCUGAGGGUGAAAGCGGGGGACCGAAAGGCCUCGCGCUAUUGGAGCGGCCGAUGUCGGAUUAGCUAGUUGGUGGGGUAAAGGCUUACCAAGGCGACGAUCCGUAGCUGGUCUGAGAGGACGACCAGCCACACUGGGACUGAGACACGGCCCAGACUCCUACGGGAGGCAGCAGUGGGGAAUUUUGGACAAUGGGGGCAACCCUGAUCCAGCCAUGCCGCGUGCGGGAAGAAGGCCUUCGGGUUGUAAACCGCUUUUGUUCGGGAAGAAAUCCUCUGGGCUAAUACCCCGGGGGGAUGACGGUACCGGAAGAAUAAGCACCGGCUAACUACCUG
rnacentral:rRNA from 1 species